rnacentral:rRNA from 1 species
GCUACAGGCUUAACACAUGCAAGUCGAGGGGCAGCAUGACGAUAGCUUGCUAUCGUUGAUGGCGACCGGCGCACGGGUGAGUAACGCGUAUCCAACCUGCCCUUGUCCAUCGGAUAACCCGUCGAAAGGCGGCCUAACACGAUAUGCAGUUCUCAGCAGGCAUCUAACGAGAACGAAAUGUAAAGGAGAAGGAUGGGGAUGCGUCUGAUUAGCUUGUUGGCGGGGUAACGGCCCACCAAGGCGACGAUCAGUAGGGGUUCUGAGAGGAGGGUCCCCCACAUUGGAACUGAGACACGGUCCAAACUCCUACGGGAGGCAGCAGUGAGGAAUAUUGGUCAAUGGGCGAGAGCCUGAACCAGCCAAGUAGCGUGCAGGAUGACGGCCCUAUGGGUUGUAAACUGCUUUUAUGCGGGGAUAAAGUGAGCCACGUGUGGCUUAUUGCAGGUACCGCAUGAAUAAGGACCGGCUAAUUCCGCGCCAGCAGCCGCGGUAAUACGGAAGGUCCGGGCGUUAUCCGGAUUUAUUGGG